GAAACAGGUGCUAAUACCGUAUGACACUAUUUUCCGCAUGGAAGAAAGUUGAAAGGCGCUUUUGCGUCACUGAUGGAUGGACCCGCGGUGCAUUAGCUAGUUGGUGAGGUAACGGCUCACCAAGGCCACGAUGCAUAGCCGACCUGAGAGGGUGAUCGGCCACACUGGGACUGAGACACGGCCCAGACUCCUACGGGAGGCAGCAGUAGGGAAUCUUCGGCAAUGGACGAAAGUCUGACCGAGCAACGCCGCGUGAGUGAAGAAGGUUUUCGGAUCGUAAAACUCUGUUGUUAGAGAAGAACAAGGAUGAGAGUAGAACGUUCAUCCCUUGACGGUAUCUAACCAGAAAGCCACGGCUAACCACGUGCCAGCAGCCGCGGUAAUACGUAGGUGGCAAGCGUUGUCCGGAUUUAUUGGGCGUAAAGCGAGCGCAGGCGGUUUCUUAAGUCUGAUGUGAAAGCCCCCGGCUCAACCGGGGAGGGUCAUUGGAAACUGGGAGACUUGAGUGCAGAAGAGGAGAGUGGAAUUCCAUGUGUAGCGGUGAAAUGCGUAGAUAUAUGGAGGAACACCAGUGGCGAAGGCGGCUCUCUGGUCUGUAACUGACGCUGAGGCUCGAAAGCGUGGGGAGCGAACAGGAUUAGAUACCCUGGUAGUCC
rnacentral:rRNA from 1 species